rfam:Salmo salar isolate Sally breed double haploid chromosome ssa09, whole genome shotgun sequence.
UGCACUCAUUACUGUAAGUCUCUCUGGAUAAGAGUGUCUGCUAAAUGACUCACU